rnacentral:rRNA from 1 species
UACAGAGGGGGCAAGCGUUGUUCGGAAUUACUGGGCGUAAAGGGCGCGUAGGCGGCCUUCUAAGUCGGGGGUGAAAUCCCGGAGCUCAACUCCGGAACUGCCUUCGAUACUGACGAUCUUGAGUCCGGGAGAGGUGAGUGGAACUGCGAGUGUAGAGGUGAAAUUCGUAGAUAUUCGCAAGAACACCAGUGGCGAAGGCGGCUCACUGGCCCGGUACUGACGCUGAGGUGCGAAAGCGUGGGGAGCAAACAGG